rnacentral:rRNA from 1 species
CCUACGGGAGGCAGCAGUGAGGAAUAUUGGUCAAUGGGCGGAAGCCUGAACCAGCCAAGUAGCGUGCAGGAUGACGGCCCUACGGGUUGUAAACUGCUUUUAUACGGGAAUAACACCCUCCACUUGUGGAGGUCUGCAGGUACCGUGCGAAUAAGGGCCGGCUAAUUCCGUGCCAGCAGCCGCGGUAAUACGGAAGGCCCGAGCGUUAUCCGGAUUCAUUGGGCUUAAAGGGAGCGUAGGCGGGCGUUCAAGUCAGCUGUAAAAUCGCGCGGCUCAACCGCGCCCCGCAGUUGAAACUGGACGCCUUGAGUUCACAACAGGCAGGCGGAAUUCGUGGUGUAGCGGUGAAAUGCAUAGAUAUAUGGAAGAACACCAGUGGCGAAGGCGGCUCUCUGGUCUGCAACUGACGCUGAGGCUCGAAAGCAUGGGUAGCGAACAGGAUUAGAUACCCGUGUAGUC